UGUUUUUUUUUUGUAAAUUCAUUAAAGGGAAGCAAAAUUUUAACAGAAAGAAAGGGAGGGGUGAAGAAAAAUAUUCAUUAUUCUAUGUUCCCGAGUUCGAAGGAAAUGAAAAGAAAAUUUUAAGUUUUUAUGUUACCGAAUUAAAAAAAAAAAUAAAAUAGAACUUAAAUUUUUUAUUUUUCUCACUUUUUUCCCAAAUCCACCUAAAGAAAUUUUGGAAAGAAAAUAUUCCAUUAAUGAUUCCCUCCUAUCACUUCCGUUAAUAAACUCCUAACACGAUUUCCCUUCCACACCCCUCGUUUCCCUCCGUUUCCUCCCGCUUCCCUCCGUAGAACUCGGGAUCCUGACGAUUCAAAGGCGGUGGUAUGCAUCUUUAGGAUAACAAAGAUAUCAUAUCGGAUCCCGCUUCGAUUACCGUUAAUUUUAAUCUCUCAUCGCCUUCGACCAUCCACUGCCGCAUUUGUAAGCAGCGCCUUCUUGCCCUUAGCAUCACCAUUGCUUUUAGUUUCAGGCCUUAAACCCCACUCUCUGCGCUUCCGGUAGGAGAAGGAGGGCUGGAGUCCGAAGAGGGCGCAUGUUGUGAAGCGGGAAACACAACUUAACGGCGCUUGAGGGGAAAUCGACAGCGAAUGGUGACGGCGAUGAGCAGCAGAGCAGGGAGCUGAAAAAGACAAACUUUUCUGAUGUCCACCAUUUUUUUCGAUAUCAAUCAGAAAGAGGGAAAGCGAAAAGAAGGAUUGACUCAAAAUGGGUUAAUUCUUUUCAUUUGCUGAAUAAUUCUUGCACUAUCUUUUUUUAGGGUCGAUAUCCAAAGAUGGAUUUCAGGUUUCACUCUUAUUUACUGAUUUCGUACCGGUUUUUGUAUGUUGAAUAGGAACAAACUUUCAAUCUGAUCCUUCUUCAUUUGUACACUACGGGACUCCAAUAUAUGAUGACAAGAAUGGCAGUUGUUACUGCUGCAUAUUUUGGUCAAUAUGUCAUCCAAGCAUGGUUGGUUUCACCUGCUUUGCAUAACUUUUAUCCUUAGAGUAAGGGUACAUCUGCUGACAAUGACAUUCUAACCAUGUGUAUCAAAAUUGCCCCUGCACUUAAAGGGUUGGGUUUUACUAGAUGGUUUACCCGGUUAUCUAGCUUCCCAUGGAAAUGCUGCACUAACAACCUUGGUAUGUUAUGUUUUUUUUUUUAUCCUUGAUCUUAUUGGAUAUUUGGAACGAGGAUUGUUUUGUAUGUCAAUGAUAUUUCUAUGAUUAGGUAAAAUUAUCAAAAUGAAAUGUUGAAUAGCCCAACAUCUAAUAAAAGGAGGUUUGAAGCUGAUUAUUAUUGAAUCUUUGACAAUUUAUCAUGUGAAAAGCCAUUUACAGGUAUGUCUUACAAGCAAUUUAUUGGUCACUCACUUAAUAUGGACAACUAUAUAUGUCUGUUUCUUUUUUACUUAAUCUGGAAACAAUGAUUUAAUGGUCACUUAGUCUCUUUCAAACACUUUAUCUAAAGCAGACAUCUUCACUCAUAAACAGCCCUAAAAAAGAUGUUGACUUUUGAGGUCAAUUGUCUUAAAAAAAAGUCCUGAUAAGUCCCCUUCAACAUUUUAUAAUAAAAAUAGUCAACACUUCAGAUUUGAUGUUUCUCUAUUACUUUGAUUUGAGAAAUAUAGAACAAGGUACAAGCUAGAGUUAUCUGAAGGUAAUAAAUGUUAUAUCAUUAAUCAUCCUUUAGAAUAUAUUUUUAGAAAUUACUCAUGAUCUUUUAUGUGUUAAAAAUUGAAAUAUAACUGAUCCUUGAACAACUUAAUAUAAAACCAUACCAAAUUCUGUUGUUUUAUGGAACUAAUGGAUUCAUACUAAUUUUUUAAUUUUUUUUUUUAUCAAGAAAAGGCUAAUAUUUGAUUUAUUUUUAUAAAAAUGUUCAAUACAUGAACAUCAGACAAAAGCCUACUUCUAUUGAUAAAAUGGUAGCUAUGGAUAUCAAAAACGAGUUAGUCUCUUUCUCUUUCUCUACACUUGUGUGUCCAAAAGACGUUAGUACCCUAGAUGUGGUAAUGUUUUUUUUUUGCUAUAUUAGAUUUUUUGUUGCGUUCCAAUAAAUAACAUUGGAGCUUUGAAGUUGUAUUGUUGUAAAAUAUGAUAAUCAAGUAUUUGUUUACUAUGACUUUUAGUUAUUGGUGUGAUCUAAAGGAAACUUGCCAAAUUUCAAAAUUAAGGAUUGUCAUAUAUGUGUGUUCCUAAUUUCCCCAGGUUGUGGACCAUAGCCUUCAUCCGCUACAAGUUUACAACCAAUUUCCUUCUAUUCGUUUUGUUAUUAAAGCGUUGUUCCUUGAAACUCUAUACCUACUCAUGUGUUGUCUGUUGUAUGUAAAUAGAAGAAGAGGAAAAAAAGGAUAAUAUUUCACUGCCAUUUAAAACUGAGAAAUUACAGAGCUUAAAUAGGAAACAAAAACAUGAACUGAAAGAAAGAUAAAAAGACAGAUUAAGACUCUUGACUUUUGUAACUGAAAAACAACUUUUAAGACUCUACUAAUGCAGUAAUUAAAGACACAUGGCAGUGAUUAUUUUGAAUCAAUUAACCAACACUCCCCCUUGAUUCAAAGUUGCAUACUCCGAGCUGCAUUCUAAAGAACUCAUGUUUGGCUUGAGGAAGAGAUUUAGUGAAUAUAUCUGCUGUCUGCUCAUUUGUUCCACAAAAACUCAGUUUAAUCUUUCCAUCAGUGAUCAACUUGCGAAUAAAAUGGUAAUGCACAUCUAUAUGCUUCGUACAAGCAUGGAGAGUAGGGUUCUUGGCCAUUGCAAUGGUUGAUCUGUUGUCACAAAAUACCUCUGUUGCAUCUUCUUGCUCAACACACAAAUCAACAAGAACUUUUCGCAGCCAUAAGGCUUGUUGAGCUGCUGCGUUUGCUGCUAUGUACUCAGCUUCUGAUGACGAUAGAGCCACCGUAUCUUGCUUCUUAGAACUCCAUGUUACAGCUCCGGAACCAAAGCUGAAAACAUUGCCUGAUGUGCUUUUGCGAUCAUCUACCUACCCAGCCCAAUCACUAUUGCUGAAGCCAACCAGCCUAAAUUCAUAAACUCUUGAAUACCAGAUGCCAUAAUUCUUGGUACCUGCUACAUAAUGAAGAAUCCUCUUGGCUGCACCAAGAUGCAAUUUUGUAGGGUUGUGAAGAAACCUUGAUACUACGCUAACAGGAAAAGAAAUGUCCGGUCUACUAUGUGUCAGGUAGUUCAGACCACCAACUAGACUUCUAAACACACUUGAGUUUGUUUUAUCGGAUCCAUCUUCAUGUUGUAGCUUCUCAUUGAUGUUCAUUGGUGUUGUUGAUACUUUACCACCAGUCACAUUGAACUUUUUGAGCAGGUCCGUAGCAUACUUCUUUUGACAUAUAAAAAUUCCAUCUUUUCUUUGCAGCACUUCAAGCCCAAGAAAAUAUUUUAACAACCCUAAAUCUGUCAUCUCAAAUGUGCUCAUCAUGCAAGAUUUAAAAUCAUCAAUUAAGGACUUAGAUGUUCCCAUAUAGAUGAUAUCAUCCACGUAAAGACAGACUAACAAGAAUUCUCGAUUACCUUGUUGCUUAAGGUAAAGAGUGGGCUCAUUCUCACUUCUUUUGAAUCCGUUUUCUUGAAAGAAAGAAUCAAUCUUACUAUACCAUGCACGUGGAGCUUGCUUCAAACCGUACAAAGCCUUUCACAACUUGUAGGCUUUAUUUUCAGCAUCUUUAACAACAAAUCCUUGAGGUUGAGCUACAUACACUUCUUCACUUAACUCACCAUUCAAGAAGGCGGACUUCACAUCAAAUUGAAAAACAGGUAGUUGAAAUUGUGCAGCAAAUGCUAUAAUUAUUCUAACUGUCUCGAAUCUAGCCAUAGGGGAAAAUGUUUCCUCAUAGUCUAUACCAUAUUCUUGUGAAUACCCUUUCGCAACAAGGCGAGCUUUGUGUUUUUGAAGACUUCCAUCAGCAUUAUACUUUGUUCGAUAUACCCAUUUAAGUCCUACAACAUUCUUGUCUUUUGGAACAUCAACCAACUCCCAUGUUGAGUUUCUUUCAAUGGCUUGUAUUUCUUCUUUCAUAGCUUUCUGCCACUCAAGUUGCUGAACAGCUUCUUCAUAAUCGGUUGGAUAUGUUGCAUACAAGGCAAAUGUACAGGAGUUGUAAACAUCAGCCACGGAUUUGAACUUCUUCGGUGUAUCAUCAUAAGUGUCUCUCGGUGGUGGAUUAUUUGAUGAAUUGUCAUUAUCUGAAUCUGAACUUGAAGAAUCUGAUCUUGAAGAACCUUGAUCACCCUGGGGUAUUUCUGCAUUAUCUCCUGAACUUGUGGAUGGUACAUCUUCAAAGUUUAUAACCUGAUCUCUUUCUUUUUGGGUAUUAGGUAUCCACCUUGCUUCUUGGUUAAACUCAACAUUCCUGCUUAUUAUCACUUUGCCACUAAGAGGGUUAUAUAAACGAUAUGCUUUGGAUUGAGGACUAUACCCAAUGAAAAUACAUUUUAGAUAUUUUUCAUCAAGUUUUGAACGAGAAUUUACCAAAGCAUAUGCUACACAACAAAAGACUUUUAAGUGGCUUACUGUGGGUUUUCUACCUGUCCAAGCUUCAUAUGGUGUGCGAUUCAUAACAGCUCUAGUUGGAGAGAUAUUUAGAAUAUACACGGCAGUUGCAACAGCCUCUCCCCAAAACUGAUCAGACAGCUUCGCUUUCAGCAUGCUUCUUGCCAUUUCUUCUACUGUUCUAUUUUUCCUCUCUGCUACCCCGUUUUGUUGGGGUGUUUUAGGUGCUGUUAAUUGCCUGUAAAUGCCAUUUUUAUCACAAAAAUCAUUAAACUCAUUAGAUAAAAACUCGCCACCACGAUCAGUUCUGAGAGCCUUGAUGUUCCUGCCACUCUGUUUCUCUACAAGUGCUUUGAAAUUCUUGAAACACUCAAAGGCUUCUGACUUGAGUUUUAGGAAAUAAACCCAACUCAUACGACUGAAAUCAUCAGUAAGCAGGAAAAAAUACCGACUUCCGCCAAAUGUCUCAGCUUUCAUAGGACCACACAAGUCAGCAUGUACAAGUUCUAGGCAAUCUGAAGCUCUCCAAGAACUUGCAACGGGAAACGACUUUCUGCUUUGUUUUCCAUAAAUACACCCUUCACAAAAACCAACUUCACCAAUAUUUGGCAGUGAUGUGCACAAAAGUACCCACUAAUUUUAAUAUUUAUAACCUAACAAACUUAGACUAUCUAUGCACUUAUAGGCAGUGUACCUAGUCAGAUUACAGUAUAGCUUAGGUAAGUCGGGUGUCGAUCACAGGGAACGGUGGAUUAAUUUAAUAUAUUUGAUUAUAGGUUACAGGUCACACGAAAAGAAUAAAGAAAUAGUUUAAUAAAUCUCAAACUAACAAUUAAUUAACAACUCUCGAUAAACUAACAGGAAAGCAAAUCUCUUCAGGUACUUUGGUUUAAACAAAUUACACCUUAAAAACAUAGACAAUUGCAUACACAAAUUCAUUUAUUCAUGUUCACCGAUUCCUAAAAUGAUUAGAUUCAUGUUCACUAUAACUAAUCCUUUAGCAAACAAGUCAAUUCAAACAGUGAUCAGUUGAUUAAACUAACAUGCUUCCUAGUGUUCAGUUCGUAUCGAGCAAGACUUGUAAAUAUAGUUAAUCAAUUUAGACAUUUAAUUAACCUCUUGUUGAUGGUCAUCAAACAAGGCUCACACAUUAACUUACCUAUUCUCAAGUUAAUCCUAGUUUCACAUUCGUUAUUUCUAGUCUUAUAAUCUCGAUGGUCAUCAAAAAUCAUAAGAGACAAGCAAUCGAGCAGAUGUUCAAGCAACUCAAUUCACUUAACAAUUAACAGAAAAUAAUCAUCAUUAACACAUGAGGAUCUUUAAACAAGCUUGGCAAGAUAAAUUAAACACAAAUAAACUAUUUAAUAUAGCAAUUAGUCUAAUAAUCAAAGCUUCAUUCAAUCAUAAACACAAAGUAAAAGGUUUUUACACCUAAAUCAGAAACUUAAUACAUAAAAGUACCACAAUGGAAUGCUAAACAUGGUCAUGUCAGCAAUCCAUAUGAUAACCGACAUGUAUCCGCUCUCCAAUCCUUCCGAUCUCCGCUCCCGUUAGCUUAACGGCCUUCCGGCCGCCUUCUAGACCCUCAAAACGGCUUAACAGAAGUUAAUUGUCGACUAAAUUAGGUUAGAAGUCGAAUCCCCCUUCCUGGGUAGCUAAAAAUCGACAUUUAUAGUCUUUGUGGCCGACCUAAGUACGCGUACUUAGGAUUACGCAGCGCGUACUCAAGAUAAUCACGCGAUCAAGUUUAUCCGAGGCAAGUCUGUACGCGGCGCGUACCAUUUCAUUACGCGGGGCGUACUCGCUACCUCAGCAUUCUUUUCUUUCUUUUAGCUUCUAAGCCCGGUUUCCGCUUCAGUCUUUUCUUUUGUGCUUUAUCGACAACAAAUAGCUGCAAAACAUAAUUCAAAGUAUUAUGAGUACUUUUUAGUUCUAAAAUAGAAUAAAUAAGGCCAAAAUAUUAAGAUAAAGUGUAUAAAAAUAUAUAUAAAAAUACACAUAUCAAAAUACCCCACACUUAGCCUUUGCUUGCCCCCAAGCAAAUUUGCUUUUAUUUUACCAAUAUCGCACUAAACAAUCCAUUUAAAACUCAGCCAUUAUGCCAAGACCUCAAUGCGUACAUUUGUGUCUAAUAUUUUCCUAAAGUACCCCCCCCCCCCAUAUUUUAAAUACUCACAAUCUUCAUAAACACUCGCCCACUUUUUCCGAACAAUGCUCAUUUUAUGCAACCCUCCGAAUCCAUCCGCAGAAAACCUCCUAACCUCAAAGUAUUUUUAGUUGAGCAACCUAAGCAUACAUAAUCUAGAAUUACAAUUUUCCGAUACCACUAUGGAGCUUUAUUUGAAUUCUUCAUUUCUUUGGCAUUUUGAUCUUUGAUUUCUUUGAAUUCAACACCUUAUUUGAUUUGAUUUUUGGUAUCUUCAACUUUUUGGAUUUCUUCAGAAUUUUGAUCUUUUGAUCUUCACUUUAUUUGCUCCAAAAUUCUUCAAACUUUUUUCGUAAUUCUCUUUUUUUUUUUUCACCUGUAACUCACUUUUUUUUUUACUCAAAACCUACAUGCUUAAGCAGAGGCGCUCAACCUCAACCUUUAUUGGUUAAUGAUAAUAAUUUUCCUGGAUACAUUUCAGGUUUAGGCUGCUAAACAUAUUGCAUCCCUCAAACCAAGCGGGGUUGUGUUUUUGUUCCAUGAUUUCAUUAAAAUAAGGGAGACCACAAAUGCACUAUAACGUGUAUUGGCUCAACUAAACAUUUGAGUUCUCAUCGGAUCAUUUCAUACAAUAUUAGCAAAAUUUAAAUUAUAACUAGAUUUUCUAAAUUAAACUAUUAUUUCAAGUUUUUUUGUUUUUUUUUUCUUCAAAUUUUUAAAUUUUCUAAAAUCUAGCAAUUUCAUUUUUUUCUUAAUUUUAAUUUACUUUUACCGACCCCCUACCCCACUUAUUUCAUACAAUGCCCUCAUUGUAUGCUAAAACAAAUUAAGAACAUAAAAAGGGAGAAAAAGGAACAGACUCCCCUGGGUAGUUGUGGCGAGAUCGAAUGGGGCUGCUACAAGUUGCUUCAAAUAUCGCCGAAAGACUGAAAACUGGAACUGCUGCCUCUGAAUUUGCCGAAAAAUAAAAUCAAGACCGCCAUCUUCGAAAAUGUGGUGCAAAAUAUUGCAAAUAAAUGCAAUGUAAAGUAACCAUGACGUGGGAAAGUGUCGACCACGUCGUCUCGUCGAGAAUGACAUCCUCUACUUGCGAUGAAAAAUCCCCCAUAACAUAGGAAAGUGUCAACCAUGUCGUGGCAGCCGGGACGAUACUUCUUCCUCGCGUCGAAAUAAAACUCUAUGGUGUGGGAAGAAAUAAAUAUGCACCCCACACUUAUGACAAAUCGUGGGUCUCGACUAUAAUCUUCAACUCUCAUACCGCUCUCUCUAGCAACAGUUGGACCUAGCUGCUGAACUUACUGCCAGCUUCCUAAGGGCGAAAAUUCUGCAGAAAUCUAAACAACCAAAGAGCAUCAACUUGGAAAACAAAAUUAAAACAAACUAAAUCAAAGUUUAAUUACAUACCAAAUACUAAAAACUAAACUAAACUAAAAAUAACACAAAACAAACAAAUAAACAAAAUAAAAAGGAUCACUCGUCAUCUCCAUCAUCAUGUGGCUGUGUCCCAGAAGUACCGGCCCCAUCAAAUCGUGACUGGAAUGGUGGUGGAAAGGGAACCGAAUACUGAAACCCCUGGUGGGUAAAGAAUGCGUUCAACGCAUUCCCAUACCACUGCUGUUGCAUGUCCACAUGUGCAACAUACUCACUAAGACAAUCAAUGCCCUGAGCCAGGUAGCGCAUAUCAAAACAGAAGGUACUCGGCGAGUAGCAGAAUCAACUCGCCGAGUAGGUCCAUACUUAUCCGUCUUGAAUUAGCAGUCGUAUUUAUCUUCUGGCAUAUCGUCGUGCACUCGCCGAGUAGGGUCGAUCUACUCGCCGAGUAGAACUCAUUCUUUCACUCUUUAAUCUUCACUUGCUUUCCUUUUCUCCUUUUUGCCUCCAAGCAUAUCUUUUGGACUGAAAACACAAUUCACAACAUUUUAAGUACCUUUUGUCCACAUUAUUCUCAUAAUUAAUCAAAAAUAACUAAGAAUAUAUGUUAAAUAAUUAACUAAUUAUGCACAUAUCAAAAUACCCCACACUUGACUUUUGCUUGCCCCCAAGCAAAACUAAAUUUUAAACACAUUAAAAUCACAUUAAUAACUCCAAUCCAACCCAGCCAUUAUGCCAAGACCGCAACGCAUGCAUUUGUGUCUAAAAUUCCUAAAAACCCCCCAUACUUCAAAUACUCACAAUCCUCAUAAACAUUCGCCCACUCACCCCGAACUAUGCUCAUUUUAUGCAACCCUCCGAAUCCAUCCUCAGAAAAUCUCUUUACCCUCAAGGUAUUUUUAAUUUGAGCAAUCCAAGCAUACAUAUUCUAGAAUUACAACUUUUCGAUACCACUAUGGAAUUCUUUGAAUUCUUCACUUUCUUGAUAAUUUGAUCUUUGAUAUCUUUGAAUUCACCAACUUGUAUUGACUUUUGGUAUCUUCAACUUUUUGGAUUUCUUGGAAUUUUGAUCUUCAGAUCUUCACUUCAUUUGCUCCAAAAUUCCUAUAACUUUUCUAGCAAUUCUUUUUUUUUUUCAUGUAUUUCUCAAUAUAUUUUUUUUUCACUCAAAUCCCUACAUGCUUAAGCAGGGGCGCUCAAUCUCAACCUUUAUUGGCUAAUGAUAAAAACUUUCCUGGAUACAUUUCAGGUUUAGGCUGCUAAACAUAUUGCAUCCCUCAGGCUGAGCAAGGUCGUGUUUUUGUCUCAUGAUUUCACUGAAAUAAGGAAGCCACAAAUGCACUAGAACGUGUAUAGGCUCAACUAAACAUUUGGGUUCUCAUGCAAUUAUUAACACAAUUCUAAUAUGGAAUCCUAAUUUUUACCAAAAUUUUCUAAUUUAAGACCUAAGCAUU